GGAAGGUGACCGGUUCGAAUCAGGUAUUCUCCACAAAAAAAAGCAAGAGCGUCCCGAUCUAUCGGGAAGGUGACCGGUUCGAAUCCGGUAUUCUCCA
rnacentral:tRNA from 1 species